rnacentral:pre_miRNA from 1 species
AAGAUAAGAGCUAGUUAGAUUAGCCAAGGUAACCGGCCUAUCAACCACCACAUAAGGCUUUCAACUCUCUCUCUCUCUCUCUCUCUCUCUCUAUAUAUAUAUAUAUAUCUAUAUGCAUUAUUAAUAAGUCUGUCUUUAGAGAGAGAGAGAGAGAGAGGGAGAGCUAGCUAGCUGAGACGUAGGAGGAGGAUAUAGGCAAGUCAUCCUUGGCUAUCAAACAAAAAAAAAAUGACUCUUAUCU